AGUGAACGCUGGCGGUAGGCCUAACACAUGCGAGUCGAACGGCAGCACAGUAAGAGCUUGCUCUUACGGGUGGCGAGUGGCGGACGGGUGAGGAAUACAUCGGAAUCUACUUUUUCGUGGGGGAUAACGUAGGGAAACUUACGCUAAUACCGCAUACGACCUACGGGUGAAAGCAGGGGAUCUUCGGACCUUGCGCGAUUGAAUGAGCCGAUGUCGGAUUAGCUAGUUGGCGGGGUAAAGGCCCACCAAGGCGACGAUCCGCAGCUGGUCUGAGAGGAUGAUCAGCCACACUGGAACUGAGACACGGUCCAGACUCCUACGGGAGGCAGCAGUGGGGAAUAUUGGACAAUGGGCGCAAGCCUGAUCCAGCCAUACCGCGUGGGUGAAGAAGGCCUUCGGGUUGUAAAGCCCUUUUGUUGGGAAAGAAAAGCAGCAGGUUAAUACCCCGCUGUUCUGACGGUACCCAAAGAAUAAGCACCGGCUAACUUCGUG
rnacentral:rRNA from 1 species